rnacentral:rRNA from 1 species
GACGAACGCUGACGGCGUGCUUAACACAUGCAAGUCGAAGGGAGUGGCGAACGGGUGAGUAACACGUGAGUAACCUGCCCUUUUCUUUGGGAUAAGCCUGGGAAACUGGGUCUAAUACUGGAUGGAUUGGGACGGGCUCGCGGCUUAUCAGCUUGUUGGUGGGGUGCUGGCUUACCGAGGCUUUCAAGGGUAGCCGGCCUGAGAGGGUGGUCGGUCACGGUGGGACGGACAUACUGCCCAGACUCCUACGCGAGGCGGCAGUGUGGGCUAUUGCACAAUGGACGAAGGUCUGAUGCAGCGACGUCGGGUGGGGGGUUCAGGCCGUCGAGUUGUAACCUCCGGUCGCCCGCGGAUUGGUAGUGGGUAAAGAAGCGCCGGCUAACUACGUGCCAGCAGCCGCGGUAAUUC